UCCUCGUUAGCUCAAUCGGCAGAGCAACCGGCUGUUAACCGGUAGGUUCCUGGUUCAAGCCCAGGACGAGGAG
rnacentral:tRNA from 1 species